rnacentral:tRNA from 1 species
AAGGGAGACCUAAUUCAGGUAGGAGACGAAAAAAAAGUAGUCGCUACCAAGAAUCAAUCCCAAAAGGUCGGAGCGAGGCAAAAUUGGCUUUCAAACUAGGUUCUGGGUUCACACAAGACCUGAAUCAGGAACAAGGGCUAUUAGCUCAGGUGGUUAGAGCGCACCCCUGAUAAGGGUGAGGUCCCUGGUUCGAGUCCAGGAUGGCCCACCUGUACAGGUGGCAAAAAGAAAGAAAAGAAGCGAGGAAUCAGCACCUUAUCUUACUUAUAUAGUAGGAGAGAAUGCUGGCUCUGAGUACAGAGUCCAGAGGAACCUUGAAAACUGCAUAGAGCUAGGUGAAAAAGCCAAAAAAGAAGACCGCAA